GCCCCGGUAGCUCAACCGGAUAGAGCAACUCGUUUCUACCGAGAAGGUUGGGGGUUCGACUCCCUCCCGGGGCACCA
rnacentral:tRNA from 1 species